GACGAACGCUGGCGGCGUGCCUAAUACAUGCAAGUCGAGCGAACAGACGAGGAGUUUGUUCCUCUGACGGUAGCGGCGGACGGGUGAGUAACACGUGGAUAAUCAACCUAUAAGACUGGGAUAACUACGGGAAACCGGAGCUAAUACCGGAGAAUAUAUUGAACCGCAUAGUUCAUUAGUGAAAGACGGUUUUGCUGUCACUUAUAGAUGUAUCAGCGCCUCAUGAGCUAGUUGUUAAGGUAACGGCUUACCAAGGCAACGAGGCGUAGCCGACCUGACGGGGUGGUCGGCCACCCGAGAACUGAGAAACGGCCCAGACUCCUGCGCUAGGAAGCAGUCGGGACUCUUCCGCAAUGGGCGAAAGCCUAACAGAGCAAAACGGCGUGAGUCAUGAUGGUGUUCCGAUCGUAAAGCUCUGAUAUUAGGGAAGAACAAAUGUUUAAGUCUAUAUGCACGUAUUGACGGUACCUAAUAAGAAAGCCACGGCUAACUACGUG
rnacentral:rRNA from 1 species